GUGCUCACUUCAAUAGCAUAUAUGCUAAAAUUGGAAUGAUACAGAGAAGAUUAAUUAGCAUGGCCACUGAGCAAGAAUGACAUGCAAAUUCGUGAAGCAGUCCAUAUUUAU
ensembl:snRNA U6 U6 spliceosomal RNA